rnacentral:rRNA from 1 species
UACGAAGGGUGCAAGCGUUACUCGGAAUUACUGGGCGUAAAGGGCGCGUAGGCGGCGCCGCAAGUCGGUUGUGAAAUCUCUGGGCUUAACCCAGAAAGGUCAACCGAUACUGCGGGGCUAGAGUGCAGAAGGGGCAACUGGAAUUCUCGGUGUAGCGGUGAAAUGCGUAGAUAUCAAGAGGAACACCAGCGGCGAAGGCGGCUUGCUGGACGGUUUCUGACGCUAAUGCGCGAAAGCUAGGGGAGCAAACGGG